rnacentral:rRNA from 1 species
CAGCGCCACGAGUGGCAACCGUUUAUUUGGCCUAAAGCGUCCGUAGCUGGUUAUGUAAAUCUUUUGUGAAAUCGCCAUCGUAAACAUGGCGGCAUGCAGGAGACACUGUAUAACUUGAGACCGGGAGGCGUCAGAGGUAUUCCAGGGGGAGCGGUAAAAUGCUAUAAUCCCUAGAGGACCACCUGUGGCGAAGGCGUCUGACGAGAACGGAUCUGACAGUGAGGGACGAAAGCCAGGGGAGCGAACCGGAUUAGAUACCCGAGUAGUCC